rnacentral:rRNA from 1 species
UGGGGAAUAUUGGACAAUGGGCGCAAGCCUGAUCCAGCCAUGCCGCGUGAGUGAUGACGGCCUUAGGGUUGUAAAGCUCUUUUUACCUGGGGAAAGAUAAUGACGGUACCAGGAGAAUAAGCCCCAGCUAACUUCGUGCCAGCAGCCGCGGUAAUACGAAGGGGGGCUAGCGUUGUUCGGAAUCACUGGGCGUAAAGCGCACGUAGGCGGAUCUUUAAGUCAGGGGUGAAAUCCCAGAGCUCAACUCUGGAACUGCCUUUGAUACUGGGGGAUCUUGAGUCCGGAAGAGGUAAGUGGAACUGCGAGUGUAGAGGUGAAAUUCGUAGAUAUUCGCAAGAACACCAGUGGCGAAGGCGGCUUACUGGUCCGGAACUGACGCUGAGGUGCGAAAGCGUGGGGGAGCAAAGCAGGAUUAGAUACCCUGGUAGUCCACGCCGUAAACGAUGGAUGCUAGCCGUUAGGCAGCUUGCUGCUUAGUGGCGCAGCUAACGCUUUUAAGCAU